rnacentral:rRNA from 3 species
GGCUCAGAUUGAACGCUGGCGGCAGGCCUAACACAUGCAAGUCGAACGGUAACAGGAAGCAGCUUGCUGCUUUGCUGACGAGUGGCGGACGGGUGAGUAAUGUCUGGGAAACUGCCUGAUGGAGGGGGAUAACUACUGGAAACGGUGGCUAAUACCGCAUAACGUCGCAAGACCAAAGAGGGGGACCUUCGGGCCUCUUGCCAUCAGAUGUGCCCAGAUGGGAUUAGCUUGUUGGUGAGGUAACGGCUCACCAAGGCGACGAUCCCUAGCUGGUCUGAGAGGAUGACCAGCCACACUGGAACUGAGACACGGUCCAGACUCCUACGGGAGGCAGCAGUGGGGAAUAUUGCACAAUGGGCGCAAGCCUGAUGCAGCCAUGCCGCGUGUAUGAAGAAGGCCUUCGGGUUGUAAAGUACUUUCAGCGGGGAGGAAGGUGUUGUGGUUAAUAACCGCAGCAAUUGACGUUACCCGCAGAAGAAGCACCGGCUAACUCCGUGCCAGCAGCCGCGGUAAUACGGAGGGUGCAAGCGUUAAUCGGAAUUACUGGGCGUAAAGCGCACGCAGGCGGUCUGUCAAGUCGGAUGUGAAAUCCCCGGGCUCAACCUGGGAACUGCAUUCGAAACUGGCAGGCUUGAGUCUUGUAGAGGGGGGUAGAAUUCCAGGUGUAGCGGUGAAAUGCGUAGAGAUCUGGAGGAAUACCGGUGGCGAAGGCGGCCCCCUGGACAAAGACUGACGCUCAGGUGCGAAAGCGUGGGGAGCAAACAGGAUUAGAUACCCUGGUAGUCCACGCCGUAAACGAUGUCUACUUGGAGGUUGUGCCCUUGAGGCGUGGCUUCCGGAGCUAACGCGUUAAGUAGACCGCCUGGGGAGUACGGCCGCAAGGUUAAAACUCAAAUGAAUUGACGGGGGCCCGCACAAGCGGUGGAGCAUGUGGUUUAAUUCGAUGCAACGCGAAGAACCUUACCUGGUCUUGACAUCCACAGAAGAAUCCAGAGAUGGAUUUGUGCCUUCGGGAACUGUGAGACAGGUGCUGCAUGGCUGUCGUCAGCUCGUGUUGUGAAAUGUUGGGUUAAGUCCCGCAACGAGCGCAACCCUUAUCCUUUGUUGCCAGCGGUUAGGCCGGGAACUCAAAGGAGACUGCCAGUGAUAAACUGGAGGAAGGUGGGGAUGACGUCAAGUCAUCAUGGCCCUUACGACCAGGGCUACACACGUGCUACAAUGGCGCAUACAAAGAGAAGCGACCUCGCGAGAGCAAGCGGACCUCAUAAAGUGCGUCGUAGUCCGGAUUGGAGUCUGCAACUCGACUCCAUGAAGUCGGAAUCGCUAGUAAUCGUGGAUCAGAAUGCCACGGUGAAUACGUUCCCGGGCCUUGUACACACCGCCCGUCACACCAUGGGAGUGGGUUGCAAAAGAAGUAGGUAGCUUAACCUUCGGGAGGGCGCUUACCACUUUGUGAUUCAUGACUGGGGUGAAGUCGUAACAAGGUAACCGUAGGGGAACCUGCGGUUGGA